rnacentral:lncRNA from 1 species
GGUGGAGAUCGAGUUAAAGAAACAGGAAGCCUGGCAUAGGCCGUGAAGGAGGUUAGGUAGGCAUAGGAUUAAGGGUUUAGAGAAUGCUUGUUUCCUUCUGUUGCCCAUAUGAGAGCUGAUAAGGGGAUUUCAGGUUUUUGCGGGGGCACCUUGGAAAAGAAUUAGGGAGUUUAAUCAGCUAGAGGGACCUUCCCACCUUCAUUUCUCAGUGUUUGUUAUAUGGCAUGUUUGCCUGAGUUAAAGGUGCCAAAAAAUAAAAAUGAAAGCCCCAUAGCGUUAAACGUUGACACGCUAUCAUCUGUCUGCUAGGAGUCUUUGACUUUUGUUUUUCUCUUCAACCCAGGGCAUGAGAUGCGCUGUGAUUGCUCAGAUACUCUUACAUUACUGUGUCCAAGUCACAUGCAUUUAACUGGACAUGUAUUUAUACGUAAAUAUAUAGAUUUUUUUUUGUCUUUUUAGGGCUGUGCCUGCGGCAUAUGGAGGGGUCGAAUUGGAGCCGUAGCCGCCGGCCUACACCACAGCCACAGCCACGCAGGAUCCGACCCACAUCUGCGACCUACACCCCAGCUCACAGCAACACUGGAUCCUCAAUCCACUGAGUGAGGCCAGGGAUGGAACCUGAAUCCUCAUGGUUCCCGGUCGGAUGCGUUUCUGCUGCACCACGGCGGGAACUCCAAAUAAACAUAUAGAUUAUUAAAGUUAGGUGAGGUCAAAAUUUCUAUAUCAAAGGGAGCAGCAUGUAGUGAAGUUUUCAUAUGUAAAAACACGUUGAAUAGCUCAGCCACAGAUUUCUCUGAUUAACUGCUUUCCAGAAGAUGAGGCAAGGCCAGAUUCUUGCAGUUCUUCUGUUGAGAGCUUUUUCAAAAAUGUCUUAAUUUUUUAUUUUAUUUUUUCUUUUUAAAUUUUUUGGCUGCCCCGCAGCAUAUGGGGUUCCUGGGCCAGGGAUCAGAUCUGAGCCCCAGUCACCACCUAAGCUGCACCUGUGGCAACGCUGGAGCCUUACCCACUGUGCUGGGCUGGGAUCAAACCUGUGUCCCUGUGUUCCGGAGACACCACCAAUUCCUUUGCACCACAGUGGGAACUCCCUGCUGAAAACUAAAAAAUUAAAGAAGGGAGUUCCCAUUAGUGCACAGAGGACGCGAAUCUGACUAGUAAACCAUGAGGUUUCGGGUUUGAUUCCCGGUCUUGCUCAGUGGGUUAAGGAUCGGGUGUUGCCGUGAGCUGUGGUGUAGGUCACAGAUGUGGCUGGGAUCUGGCCUUGCUGUAGCUGUGGCGUAGGCUGGUGGCUAUAGCUCCAAUUGGACCCCUAGUCUGGGAACCUCCAUAUGCUGCAGGUGUGGCCCUAAAAGACAAAAGAGAAAAAAGAAAAAAGAAAAAAAGAAAGUAAGAGAAGCUUCCCUUACCACUUCCAGUGAGCACUCGAGCCAUUCCUUCAUCUCUCUGGCCUCAGAUUCCUUGUUACGUUGAAGGAGGUACUUUCCCUUGUAAAAAUAUUAUAUUAAAGUAUAGUUGAUUUACAAUGCUGUUUUCAUUUCUACUAUACAGCAAAGUGACUCAGUUAUACAUAUAUUUUUUUCAUAUUCUUUUCCGUUAUGGUUUAUCACAGGACAUUGAAUGCAGUUCACUGGGCUCUCCAGGAGGAUCUUGCUGUUUAUCUGCUAAUCCCUAACUCCCAAAUCCUGCCUCCCCCUUCCCCUUGGCGACCACAAGUCUGUGCUCUGUGUCUGUGUAUCUUGUUUUUGUUUUGUAGACAUGUUGACUUCUUGUCUUUUUGACUUCACAUGUAAGUGAUAUCAUAUGGUAUUUGUCUUUCUCUUUCUGACUUACUUCACUUAGUAUGAUAAUUUCUAAGUCCAUUCAUGUUGCUUCAAAUGGCAUUAUUUCAUUCUUUUUUAUGGCUGAGUAAUAUUCCAUUGUACACACGUACCCCAUCUUCUUUAUCCAUUCCUCUGUGGGUGGACAUUGGAUUAUUUCCAUGUCUUAGCUGUUGUGAAUAGUGCUGCAGUGAACAUAGGGGAGCAUGUAUCUUUUUGAAUUAUAGUUUUGUCUGGGUAUCUGCCCAGGAGUUGGAUUGCUGCAUCAUGUGGCAACUCUAUUUUUAGAGGAAUCUCCAUCCUGUUUUCCAUAGUGGCUUUACUAAUUUACAUUCCCACCAGCAGUGUAAGAGAGUUCCCUUUUCUUUUCUUUUUUCUCUUCUUUUAGCCACACCCAUGGCAUGUAGAAGUUCCUGGGCCAGGGAUCGAACCCAUGCCUCAGUUGGGACCUGUGCCACAGCUACAGCAACACUGGAUCCUUAAUCUGCUGUGCCACAAGGGAACUUCCAGGAGUUCCCUUUUCUCCACACUCUUUCUAGCAUUUAUCAUUUUUGGACUUUUUACCUCAUUGUGAUUUUGUUUGCAUUUCUCUAAUAAUUCACGAUGAUGAGCAUUGUGAAUUAUUAGAGAAUUUCAUGUGCUAUUGACUAUCUGUACGUCUUCGUGGAGAACUGUCUAUAUGUCUGUUUCGGUCUACUGCCCAUUUUUCAAUUGGGCUAUUUGGGUUUUUUUGGUUGUUGUUAUCAAAUUGUGACCAACAUCCAUCAAUGACGUACUUGCUUUCUCAAGGUGUUCAGGAAAGGCCAAUGUUGAAGUUCAAGACCUUCUGAACUGGAGCCCUGGAUGGAAUCCAUCCCACUCAUAUUCUAUUAUUUAGCAGGACUCUCAAGGGAUACAACCUUUGCUUUCUUCCAAAUCUUAUUUAUUUAUUUGUUUGUUUAUUAUUAUUAUUAUUAUUAUUUGUCUUUUAUCUUCUUAGGGCCACAUCUGCGUGGCACAUGGAGGUUCCCAGGCUAGAGGAUUAUAGAUCUGUUGCUGCUGGCCUAUGCCAGAACCACAGCAAUACCAGAUCCAAGCCACGGUCUGUGACCUACACCACAGCUCAUGGCCACGCCGGAUCCUUAACCCACUGAGCAAGGCCAGGGAUUGAACCCUAAACCUCAUGGUUCCUAGUGGGAUUCAUUUCCACUGUGCCAAGACGGGAAGUCCCAGAUCUUUCUUUAAGUCCGUUGCUUGAGGUGAGCAUGUGGGCUCACCAGAUCCUCACUUUUCAUUGCAACGCCAAGACUGCAAUGUGAUCAGAGAAAUGAGCUAAAUGAUGUCUUUUAAAAAUUACUGGUCCCGGAGUUCCUGUUGUGGUGUAGUGGAGAUGAAUCCAACUAGUGUCCAUGAGGAUGUGGGUUCGAUCCCUGGCCUUGAUCAGUGGGUCAGGGAGCCAGCGUUGAUGUGAGUGCAGUGUAGUUUGCAGACGUAGCUCCAGUCCUGUGUUGCUGUUGCUGUGGCUGUGGCUGUGACAUAGGCUGGCAGCUGUAGCUCCAAUUUGACCCCUAGCCUGGGAACUUCCCUAUGCCACAGGUGUGGCCCUAAAAAGACAAAAAAAAAAAAAAAA